rnacentral:rRNA from 1 species
AUUGAACGCUGGCGGCAGGCUUAACACAUGCAAGUCGAGCGAGUGGCGGACGGGUGAGUAAUGUCUGGGAAACUGCCUGAUGGAGGGGGAUAACUACUGGAAACGGUAGCUAAUACCGCAUACCAUCGGAUGUGCCCAGAUGGGAUUAGCUAGUGGGUGGGGUAAAGGCUCACCUAGGCGACGAUCCCUAGCUGGGCUGAGUGGAUGACAAGCCACACUGGAACUGAGACACGGCCCAGACUCCUACGGGAGGCAGCAGUGGGGAAUGGUGCACAAUGGGCGCAAGCCUGAUACAGCCAUGCCGAGUGUAUGAAGAAGGCCUGCGGGUUUGAGAGUACUUUCAGCGGGGAGGCGUUACCCGCAGAAGAAGCACCGGCUAACUCCGUGCCAGCAGCCGCGGUAAUUC